rnacentral:rRNA from 1 species
UACAGAGGGUGCAAGCGUUAAUCGGAAUUAUUGGGCGUAAAGGGCUUGUAGGUUGUUAUUUAAGUUAGAUGUGAAAGCCCUGGGCUUAACCUGGGAUGUGCAUUUAAUACUGGAUGACUAGAGUAGUGCAGAGGAGUGGGGAAUUCCUGGUGUAGCAGUGAAAUGCGUAGAGAUCAGGAGGAACAUCAGUGGCGAAGGCGCCACUCUGGGCACAUACUGACACUGAGGAGCGAAGGCGUGGGGAUCAAACAGG